ACCUGAGUGGCUCAGUCGGUUAAGCAUCUGACUUCGGCUCAGGUCAUGACUUCGCGGUUUGUGAGUUUGAGCCCCGCCUCGGGCU
rnacentral:tRNA from 1 species